rnacentral:sRNA from 1 species
GUCCGCAUCGGCGGGGCUUCGGGGAGGUCGCGCUCUCUAAGCCACGCGGCCGCCGUCCGAACCCGCCGGGGUCGGAUGGUGGUGAUGGCCGUGGUGGUGCGCGAACCGCGUCAUGACGGGCGGGGCUAUAGCGGAGACGAUGCGGAGAGUCACGCACGCCCCUCCUCU